rnacentral:tRNA from 11 species
GUGUGGCCUGGUGGCUAGGACACCAGGCCAAAAACCCGAUGGUCGCAGGUUCGAGUCCGUGC